CACGAGAGGCCUGGAAGAAUUGCCUUCCUCCCUCUGGGAUAUCGGUGCAGCUCUCAGUGAGUUAAUAUGUAAACAAAGCAGUAUCUUUUAGUGGACCAGCUUUUUUGGCACUUGUCAUAUAUGGAACCCUCUACCAUCCCAAGACAUCACACACUCCAAUCAGCAAUAGAAAUCUCUAUGCAGAAGCUGGCUUGUGCACAGACCUCCUUAAGAAAAUACGUGCUGUGCCAGAUCAGACCAAAGAUCCAUCAAGUUCAGCAUCCUGUUUCCAACGGCGACCAACCAAACAUCUCUAGAAAGCUCACAAGCAUGACAUGAAGGCAGCAACCCUCCACUCUCCUGGUGCUGAUGCCCUCUAUGAACUGCCUUUGAACAUGGAAGUUCCACAUGUACAGUACCAAGAGGCUGCUGGUACAAUGACCCAGAUGCUGCUGUGCCAACCCUCUGUGAUGGACCAGCCUGAACUGAAGACAGCUGACUUAAACCAUUCUUCUAAAAUUACUUACUCUGCAGUAUGCCAGCAAUAGCUCCAUAGACUUUAGUAGAACUUCAGUGAGACCACAUCACCGGACUAGCAGUUUCUUAUGCAAAGCACACAGCUAACCAAACUACCAUCUUUCAAAAGGGCAAAAACAAACAAACAAACAGUAAAAAUCAGAGCACUGCUGUGUGACUUAAACCAAUUACUUUUCCAUAGCUGCACACGUGUGGGGCCUAAAUAAUUAAACAAGUGAAAGUUU